GACGAACGCUGGCGGCGUGCCUAAUACAUGCAAGUCGAACGCAGUGGGGACGGGUGAGUAACACGUGGGUAACCUCCCAUCAGAGGGGAUAACACUUGGAUACAGGUGCUAAACCGCUACUGGUGGAUGGACCCGGGGUGCAUUCGCUAGUUGGUGAGGUAACGGCUCACCAAGGCCACGAUGCAUAGCCGACCUGAGAGGAUGAUCGGCCACACUGGGACUGAGACACGGCCCAGACUCCUACGGGAGGCAGCAGUAGGGAAUAUUGGGCAAUGGACGAAAGUCUGACCGAGCAACGCCGCGUGAGUGAAGAAGGUUUUCGGAUCGUAAAGCUCUGUUGUUAGAGAAGCGGUAUCUAACCAGAAAGCCACGGCUAACUACGUGCCAGCCGCCGCGGUAAUUC
rnacentral:rRNA from 1 species